rnacentral:rRNA from 1 species
GGUGGUGGUGUGGGCAUCGAACGGUACCUAGCGCGGCGGCGGGCCGAGGGGUGGCAGCAGAAGCGAGGGACAGAGUAGACGGCAGCGACGGGUGGUGUAGGUGAGAUACAGCGUAGGGUGGCGAAGGUAGCGGUGGCAAUUGGUAGAGAGCGGAAUCAGGAGAGAGAACCUGGUCGUGCGACGCCGCCUACGAAGGCCAGCACACCACCGCUGCGCCGACCAGCGGAUAUUCGAUGUUGUUACCAAGGGACAACAUGGGGAGGUGAGUGGUCUGGCGACUCCGUACCUACAUGGGCCACUUCUAGCGCGAGGCGUAUCGUUUAAGCCGGUACAAGACUCACCAACGAGCCGUUCCAUCUUCUCGUUCACUAGUCUUCCGGGUAUUAAAAAAGUACCUACAUCUUCUUUGGCUUUUCUAGGAAAGUACCAACAUGUUCCUUCGGGAUUUUAUGGAUGGAAGUGGAAGCGAAGGAGAUUAGACAUGAGAUAGGGAGGGGGUCAACUUUUUGUUUAGGUGCAGAGAGAGUUUUGGUUCAACUCCGUACCUAGGGCACAUUAGUUCCUCGAAUAACACAGUUCUAAUAAAAGAAGGAGACCUAGUCAGUGGGGAAGUCUAUCACAACGCGCGAGUUCCCUAAGUUAGAUCUUAGAAGAGUGGAUGUCAUGUUGGAUACCUACAGGCUCUAGCCAGCCCCGUAUUGAUACGAGGAGUCCACUCAAAUAUUUAAUUCUUUGUACAACAGAUUUGUUUGUAUUUGUACUUCCUCGGAUUACAGUCAACAGUUGUACGGCGACAAAUUCGUGAGGAUUUAGUUAAAAGCAUACCCGUUUUGUACGGUCCCUGGGAUAUACCGUUCUAAUUAUAGAAAAGAACUAAAGAAAACAACGACGAGACGGUGUUAGAGGACUAAUUCCUUCAUGGAACGGUUCGACCGUACAGGACCGGCAACAUCCAUUCUCUUAACUGAAGACUACUUGAAAGAAGAAGAAUAGGAGAAAGUCAAUCUAUCAAUGUAACACUUUGUGAACUGUUGCUUCGAGAGACAGUUGAUAAUCUCAUAACUGCCAAAGACAGCAUUUAGACUUACAAAAACGCCCGUUAACAAAACAUUUUCGUUACCGUGUACUGUUGAUGAUUUCGUAACUCACAGUAACGACAACGUGAAAGAUAUUCAUACCCCUAACUAAAAGACGGUUAAGACGCAAUGUUGAAUGCUGACUGUUGAUGAUUUAAAGUUACGGGAAAAACUGUUAAAAUCCAAUUUAUCUUACCGCACACUUUAUUAACCACGAUAGUUGAUCCUCAUUAGUACAGUAACAACCCAUUACAUCGUCAAUACGAGACGUAACUAUAAUUUCAGUUGUGUUUCCUUGAGAGUGUAUACAAACGAAACAGAGGUUGACCCUUUAUUACACACGUAUGUAUGGGUGACCUUACAAUGGGCGCGAGGCAUGAGCCGAGGCCACUAUGUCAAAUUGCCGUUCUGUGUGAAUAGAUUGUUUCACGAGUGUUGAAGGGUCGUUUACGACGAGUAACUCACGGAGGAGGUAAGUUACUCCUUUUCAACUGACGAACUCUUUUUCUUCGACACUCAAGGGGUGUAGAUGACUUGUAGCAAAACCAAUGAAGCAAAGAGAAGGACGUCAAAAACGUACCCGACGCCUACACUACGAAACAUACCCUUGUUCUGACUAUACUAAACCUAUACGACGUACAUGUAAGCUGAAUCAACAUGAGCCCUUACAAAUUCUUUCAUUAAACGUUGUUGCACCUACAGUCUAAAUAGUUGAUGACAGUGAGAACCAAAACUUCCUAAACUAAUACCCUCAAAAUCAUACGGGACUGGUUCAUGUUAUCUACAUCUGUGGUAACAGCGAAGGAAUAAACAUACACUAAGUCUAUAAAAUUUUGGAAUAGACAUGGUAACUUAAUACAAAAAAAAGACACCCCUCAUGGUAACUUAAUACAACAAUACAUCCAACGGGCUAUACAAGUAGCUACGGCACCUGUUGCUAAAAAUAAUAGCAAAGGGUAUAAAUAGAUUAAUCCAAACGUUAAUGUGAAACAAAAUAAAUAGUAGACAUAGAUCUUUUAGUCUAACACUUCGAAUAUUAAAUAAUCAAAAAGACACUAAAGGGAAAUAAAACGACUAUCAGGUGAUGAGUCCUAAUAUUCUCGGUGGUAGAAACACUCGUAAAAUUGAAGUCCACAAGGUUCCACAAUCAUACCAAGAUGUCUCUUUCGACGUGUUGUACGGAUUAAAACAUGAAUGGAACGUCAAGACAUCUAGAUGAUGUUAAUAUACUACAGGAGUUUAGUCUGGAAACGUUCGUAGUGUUCUAUAGUCAUAUAUAUACAUCGCGUGGAAACCAAGUUAGUAUGUAAGUAUCAUCAAACUACAUGAUGCAAAACCAACCAUCUCUCCUAAGACUACCACUGCGUACUAAGUGACAUAAAACAAAACAAAAGUCCGGCUACUUUAACGACCUGAUCUUUUUUUUAGACACACAUAUAUUCAGUAGGUCGAGGCCCUCGCGCGCCUCGCUACGAACCCGCUGAGGAUCUUUUACCCAACGCCCGGCGAAGCGAGGCCGCGCCACGAAGCCUCGCCUCUCGAUGGCUUGUUGCGGAAACGCAAUCCUAAUUCUCGUACUACUAACGUUCCUAAAAGUCAAAACUUUCCAUAACCACUCCAAGGUCAGGUAAUGACGUCUCGUGUGGAAAACAAUCUAGCAUG